GGAAUUGAACCUACACCUGGGAGAUCAAAACCCCCUGUAAUUCCAUUUUACCACUCUCU
rnacentral:tRNA from 2 species